AUGGAAGGCAGUGGGACUGGCGCCACAGUGGGCAGCAGCAGGACAGGGCGGCUGAGUCACAGGGACCAGCAGCGGCGGAUGCAGGACACAGCCAGGCCGGCCGAGCACGAGGAAAGGAGGAUGAAGAACACAGUAAGAAAAGCAAGUAGGGCAUCGGCCUGCAGGAUAAGAUGGCGGUCUCCACAGACAAAUUAUGAAAACAGAAUAUAUAGCUUGAAAGUAGAAUGUGGACCUAAAUACCCAGAAGCUCCUACAUCAGUUAGAUUUGUAACGAAAAUUAAUAUGAAUGGAAUAAAUAAUUCCAGUGGGAUGGUGGAUGCACGUAGUAUACCAGUUUUAGCAAAAUUCAUAUAGCAUUAAAGUUGUACUUCAAGAGCUAAGACAUCUAAUGAUGUCCAAAGAAAAUAUGAAGCUUCCACAGCCACCAGAAGGACAAACAUACAACAAUUAAUUUUAGUGGAUCUCAAACUUGUCUUAAAUCAACAACCUUUUACUCAUGUUAAUGUCUUGAUUAAAUAUCACAGUGCAAAAUACCCACAUGUUAAGUAAAGGAAUUUCACCUGGUAAACAUGACCUGGACAUUUGUAAGAAUAUAUUUAAUAUAUGUACACCCAGUAUGUUUUCAGGUAACAAGAGGAAAAAUGCAGCACAUUUUUUUCUCUUGUUAAGGCACUAUCAUUUAAACAUAAACCUGGAAUAUACUCAAAAUAGAAUUCAGGUUUACAAGAUGAAAGUGUGAAGAGGGGUGUCAGAUGUCAGUGGAAGCAUGUGUGUUUCUGAAAAGUAAAAAUCUCAAGAAGGAAAAGCAGAAAUAGCAUGCUUUAUCCAUCUUGCUUAGUGAAAGAGCUGCAGUUGAAAUUGUUUAAAGUAGCAGGUAUAAUGAAUAUUGUCGCAAAUUGUGUUAAUUUUUGAAGCGGUGUGGGUGC